rnacentral:lncRNA from 1 species
CUUGGAAGGAACGCAUCUUCUAAGAGGCCCACUGCAUGAUCUGUGAACAGGUCUUCUCCAGGCCUUAGCUCCAGCCUCUCCUCUAUGACAUUCGCUGUUCAUGCUGCCCAACUGAACGGGACUGGCUGUAAGGAAGUCCAAGGCCAACUUCUUAAGUGAAACCUCAAAACUUACUAAGCCGCUUAUUUUCCCACCACGUUUACAAAGUACUGAAUUUAAAGCAAACGAAAAACAAUGGACUGAAUGUUACAACAAAAGACACUGUAUCAACCAGAUUAACCAAGACAAGAGUGUGGGGAAGGUUUAAAUGGCCUCUCUGAGCUUUGUGCAGGCUCCGCCUAGUUCUAACACAGAGCAUGGACCUCUGGCAUCCACAUCGUUCUGGCAUGUGAUG